AGGAAAAUGUUUACAUUGUGGCUCACUGGUGGAAUCUUAAAUUAGUUUUUUUGUUUUGUUUUUCAGUUUUUAUUAUCCUCUUUAUGAGUUGUUUAAAUUAUUGAUGGCUUUGGAAGAAGCCCGAGGGACAGUGUGACGCAGAGCUAGAGCGGCGGCUCAACAGACCUGCAGCGCCUCCAGGUGUACAUCUCGCCCUGAAGAAUAAAACAGGAAGCGACGUUUCAGAAAGCACAUUAACCUUGGGAUGCCUUUGAAAGCCCACACAGUUAUAAUCCUUCCUCUUUCCCUGGGUGUAAGCCUGUAGAGCACAGUCAUCAGACACAGGAGACCGAGACGGCCACAGGUCGGAAUCCACCACACCGGAGCCUCAGCAGAAGAAACAACCCCUGGAAGGUGUCGAUGCGGUGCAAGUACCUUCACACAGAACCACCAGGGGACGGUUACAUGACCAACAGCAACCAUUUUUCCUUUUUUUUUUCUGGGAUGGACGUGUAUUCCUGAGGACACACGUGCGUAUGGAAAAAAAGACCAACAAUCAUAUACGGAUUUCACUUAUUUUUGUUCUCUGUGGGCUUGAGUCACUUUUCUAUCUGAUUUUAAUGUCAGUGUGAGAUUUCAGUUGAUGAUGAUUUUAUCAAGAUGUUUGGCUAUCGUUUAAUUUAUUUAUCAGGUUCUAGUUCCUUUUUAAUGAACUGAGGAUGUGCGAGCGAGCACAUAGAUAUCGAACAUGAUCAUACACUCGUCACAUAUGGACUUUCUAUUUUAAACUGGGAUGCUGCUUUUAUUAUUAUGAUGAUUAUUAUUAUUCUGUCUGAACGCUCAGAUAGAAGUCUGGUUUUUCAGAGGCACACAGUGGAAUGUAAAGAUCUUGCUAGCGUUAGCAUAUUUGAAAUGUGAAUAAAAGCCAAGUGAAUGAGAAGGAUGUUGUUGACAGUUUUUUCGGAGACUGAGUUUUUUCUAUGCCCAGAUGUGUUUCAGCGUUCUCAAUGAAUACGAAUAUGUGCAUUCUUGAGGACAGAAGGGCCUAUUUACAUAACACCACUUAUUUUCCUCGACUAAUGUUCCACUGAGAGUUCACUCAUUUCCCACUUUUCUCUCUCUCCUGUCUGACUCCCACUCCAUCAUAGUCUGAGGCUGAAAAGUAUUAUCUAACCUAAAUCUGUGAAGAAUUGGAUCACUCUUCUCACGCUCCGCUCAGGUUCGUGGGAGGUUUUUAAACAGUCACUAACCGCAGGUGCUUUCAGUAAUCCAGACCUCCCUUGUGUUCUUAAUCACUCAGUCAUUCACCUAAAAAACCCUUAACAUUUUCAAUUGAAUAAAACUACAUGAUAUGCUGGUUAAUCACAUUCAUCACAAUUAUUGCAUAUAUCAAUUUUUGCAAAAGACCCUCGAAUGAAUAUAAUUCAAAGAUGCUGUAGGACAAGUAAAUGAUUAAGUAGACAAAAAGUGGCUGUAAAAAAUCAGUAUUCAAUCUAGUCUAAUGCAAAGUAGUGUGAUUUCAUAUGAAAUGGCAGAAUUGUAAGAAUUUGUUAUACAUU
rnacentral:lncRNA from 1 species